AUUGAACGCUGGCGGCAUGCUUUACACAUGCAAGUCGAACGGCAGCACGGGUGCUUGCACCUGGUGGCGAGUGGCGAACGGGUGAGUAAUGCAUCGGAACGUGCCCAUGAGUGGGGGAUAGCCCGGCGAAAGCCGGAUUAAUACCGCAUACGCCCUUAGGGGGAAAGCGGGGGAUCUUCGGACCUCGCGCUAUUGGAGCGGCCGAUGUCGGAUUAGCUAGUAGGUGAGGUAAAGGCUCACCUAGGCGACGAUCCGUAGCUGGUCUGAGAGGAUGAUCAGCCACACUGGGACUGAGACACGGCCCAGACUCCUACGGGAGGCAGCAGUGGGGAAUUUUGGACAAUGGGCGCAAGCCUGAUCCAGCCAUGCCGCGUGAGUGACGAAGGCCUCGGGUUGUAAGACUCUUCUAGUGGAAGAAUAGCGCUGUUAUAGUAUGGCGUUGAUGACGGUA
rnacentral:rRNA from 1 species